GCAUCAGACCACCCCAAAGAACUGGCACACUAUGGGGUGACUGGCCUGCCCCACUUGGAGUGCCCGGCAGAGUAGGGGUGGUGCUGCUCCCCAGGCAAUCCUGCUUCGGGUCUCCUUUGUCACUCAUUGAGCAAGCUUAUGGUUUACGGCCCACUUAAGUGUCCUGUCCCACUGUGAAUUUGGUUAUUUCAGAAAUUGACACGGGGGGAGGGGGACAGUAGUUUUGUGUCAACUUGCAGCACUAAAAUUGUGCUUUAUGUGUCUAAGGAGGCAGAGAGGAAAAAGUUAACAGGGAAGAAGUCCAUCAUAUUGGGUAACAGUAAGGUUUAAGAACCACCAAGGAGCAGGUAUCGGUAGUUAAUAGAACUUACCCCUGUAACGUAAAGGUAUCGUAGUUAAUAGAGCUUACCGCUGUAACGUAAAGGUAUCAGUGGUUAAUAGAGCUUACCCCUGUAACGUAAAGGUAUCAGUGGUUAAUAGAGCUUACCCCUGUAACGUAAAGGUAUCAGUGGUUAAUAGAGCUUACCCCUGUAAUGUAAAGGUAUUGUGGUUAAUAGAGCUUACCCCUGUAACGUAAAGGUAUCAGUGGUUAAUAGAGCUUACCCCUGUAACGUAAAGGUAUCAGUGGUUAAUAGAGCUUACCCCUGUAACGUAAAGGUAUCGUGGUUAAUAGAGCUUACCCCUGUAACGUAAAGGUAUCGUGGUUAAUAGAGCUUACCCCUGUAACGUAAAGGUAUCAGUGGUUAAUAGAGCUUACCCCUGUAACGUAAAGGUAUCAGUGGUUAAUAGAGCUUACCCCUGUAACGUAAAGGUAUCGGUGGUUAAUGGAGCUUACCCCUGUAACGUAAAGGUAUCGGUGGUUAAUGGAGCUUACCCCUGUAACGUAAAGGUAUCGGUGGUUAAUAGAGCUUACCCCUGUAACGUAAAGGUAUCGGUGGUUAAUAGAGCUUACCCCUGUAAUGUAAAGGUUGGUGGUCUCCAGGUAGCGGUGUUGAUCUCAUGGUGUUUAUUUUAAAUAUUAAUAGAACCAAAAGGUUGCCUUAUGUGUAAAACUGCUUUUACAUUUUAAAGCAUGUAUGAGAAGCUGCAGCUCUCCUGAUCUCCGACCCGCAUU